UACGUAGGGGGCUAGCGUUGUCCGGAAUCAUUGGGCGUAAAGCGCGUGUAGGCGGCCCGGUAAGUCCGCUGUGAAAGUCCAGGGCUCAACCCUGGGAUGCCGGUGGAUACUGUCGGGCUCGAGUCCGGAAGAGGCGAGUGGAAUUCCUGGUGUAGCGGUGAAAUGCGCAGAUAUCAUGAGGAACGCUAGUGGCGUAGGCGAGACUCUGGACAGUUCCUGACGCUGAGGCACGAAGGCCAGGGGAGCAAACGGG
rnacentral:rRNA from 1 species